rnacentral:rRNA from 1 species
CCUACGGGUGGCAGCAGUGAGGAAUAUUGGUCAAUGGACGAGAGUCUGAACCAGCCAAGUAGCGUGAAGGAUGACUGCCCUAUGGGUUGUAAACUUCUUUUAUAUAGGAAUAAAAUGUUCCACGUGUGGGAUUUUGUAUGUACCAUAUGAAUAAGGAUCGGCUAACUCCGUGCCAGCAGCCGCGGUAAUACGGAGGAUCCGAGCGUUAUCCGGAUUUAUUGGGUUUAAAGGGAGCGUAGGUGGAUUGUUAAGUCAGUUGUGAAAGUUUGCGGCUCAACCGUAAAAUUGCAGUUGAAACUGGCAGUCUUGAGUACAGUAGAGGUGGGCGGAAUUCGUGGUGUAGCGGUGAAAUGCUUAGAUAUCACGAAGAACUCCGAUUGCGAAGGCAGUUCACUGGACUGCAACUGACACUGAGGCUCGAAAGUGUGGGUAUCAAACAGGAUUAGAUACCCGUGUAGUC